UAGUGGCGGACGGGUGAGUAACGCGUGAGAAUCUGGCUUCAGGAUGGGGACAACAGUUGGAAACGACUGCUAAUACCGAAUGUGCCGCAAGGUGAAAUAUUUAUAGCCUGAAGAUGAGCUCGCGUCUGAUUAGCUAGUUGGGGAGGUAAAGGCUCACCAAGGCAGCGAUCAGUAGCUGGUCUGAGAGGAUGACCAGCCACACUGGGGCUGAGACACGGCCCAGACUCCUACGGGAGGCAGCAGUGGGGAAUUUUCCGCAAUGGGCGAAAGCCUGACGGAGCAAUACCGCGUGAGGGAGGAAGGCUCUUGGGUUGUAAACCUCUUUUCUUAGGGAAGAAAAAAAUGACGGUACCUAAGGAAUAAGCAUCGGCUAACUCCGUGC
rnacentral:rRNA from 1 species